CGAAAAAACCAAUAGAGACGAAUACUAGACAAAUGGUACAUCGAUAGUGAUGCAUUGUCCUUUUCAUUUCAUCAAACUGUGUUAUUCCGUGCUAUAUUUUCGGACUGCUUAUGUAUUGAUUGCUACAAAGUAUUUAUUUCGCAAUCGCCUGAUAUGUAUGUCCAUAUAAGGAACAAAAUAUAACACGUGAUCAGCGCCUGUAUGCAAAUUGCCAAAUUUUGAGCGCGUCGUUUGAAAACUCUUUUGAAUCGUAUUUCAUACUGCCGUGUUAAAGACGUUUUGAGCGUAUUUCUUAACUAUUUUGGUACUUCUAAAUAUGCUGAACAGCAACGGACUCACAUAAGGAAAUAUUAAGACAAUUGGCUAUGAUAUUAUCUCAGAAAUAUCUUGGUAAGUUGAAUUGAAUUGAAUUUGAUCGAGUACGGAGGUCCACGUUCGCUCAAACGGCCAAAUCGCCAAACAAACAAAUGUGUGUUAUUUAUUAUUAUAGAGAAGCCAAAUGAAUUCUACUUAUAAUACUGCGAUGAUCUCUUUAGCAAUCUGGGUCAAAGAAAAUAUCAUUGCAAUAAUAGUUUUCACCAAGAUUGAAUGAAGGCCUCAAAUGUGGCAGAUUAAGGGGAAACUGUAAUUCUAAUGAUAUGACAAGGAAAUAUCCCUUCCUUGCUGACUCAAUUGUGGUUGUGGAACAGGUUCAUGGACCAUAACAAGGCCAAGGGUAGAAACAAUUU